rnacentral:rRNA from 1 species
CGCGCGAGUCAGAGGGCUCGGCACGAAACCCCACGGCGCAAUGAANGUGGAGCCGCGCNCCGCCUAGGUGGGAUCUCGCCCCGGCGCANNNNCGCACCACAGCCCGCUCUGCGCGACGCCGGCGAGUGGAGCAGAGCGCGCGCGAUGCACCCGAAAGAUGUGAACUAUGCCGGGCAGGCGAAGCCAGAGGAAACUCUGGUGGAGGCCCGCAGCGGUCCUGACGUGCAAACUUGUCCACCUGGUAUAGGGCGAAAGACUAAUCGAACCAUCUAGUAGCUGGUU